AGGAUUAGUGGGCCUCGAUCCCACAAUAAACAGUUAACAGCUGAACGCCCAACCUAGAGGGC
rnacentral:tRNA from 1 species